rnacentral:rRNA from 1 species
UCCCAACUUGCUGGGUGGAUUAGUGACGAACGGGUGAUUAACACGUGAGUAACCUGCCCUUGACUUCGGGAUAACUCCGGGAAACCGGGGCUAAUACUGGAUAUGAGCCGUCCUCGCAUGGGGGUGGUUGGAAAGUUUUUCGGUCAGGGAUGGGCUCGCGGCCUAUCAGCUUGUUGGUGGGGUGAUGGCCUACCAAGGCGACGACGGGUAGCCGGCCUGAGAGGGCGACCGGCCACACUGGGACUGAGACACGGCCCAGACUCCUACGGGAGGCAGCAGUGGGGAAUAUUGCACAAUGGGCGCAAGCCUGAUGCAGCGACGCCGCGUGAGGGAUGAAGGCCUUCGGGUUGUAAACCUCUUUCAGCAGGGAAGAAGCGCAAGUGACGGUACCUGCAGAAGAAGCGCCGGCUAACUACGUGCCAGCAGCCGCGGUAAUACGUAGGGCGCAAGCGUUGUCCGGAAUUAUUGGGCGUAAAGAGCUCGUAGGCGGUUUGUCGCGUCUGGUGUGAAAACUCGAGGCUCAACCUCGAGCUUGCAUCGGGUACGGGCAGACUAGAGUGCGGUAGGGGAGACUGGAAUUCCUGGUGUAGCGGUGGAAUGCGCAGAUAUCAGGAGGAACACCGAUGGCGAAGGCAGGUCUCUGGGCCGCAACUGACGCUGAGGAGCGAAAGCAUGGGGAGCGAACAGGAUUAGAUACCCUGGUAGUCCAUGCCGUAAACGUUGGGCACUAGGUGUGGGGCUCAUUCCACGAGUUCCGUGCCGCAGCAAACGCAUUAAGUGCCCCGCCUGGGGAGUACGGCCGCAAGGCUAAAACUCAAAGGA